GUUCCACACAGCUCCCGGAGCAAGAUUUGUUGAAAGAGAGUCAAAGAUGCAAGGUCAGCUGUGACGAGUAAUACUGGCUGAGAAGUACCAUGAUCAUCAGGAGUUCUCUCUACAAAGUCUACUGAAAGCAACUCAGGGAGAGGUUUUGGGUUAUUUGUCAUUAUUUGCCAAAUCAUAUAUUUGGUUUUGCCCUGCAAACACCAAUGAGUAUGUUCUCAAUUAUGACUUUUAUUCUUUGACUACUACAUUGAAAACAGCCAAAGCAAAUGCAAGUUGAGGAAGUACAGUUUGGCAGCCCUCAGUGUGAAGCUGCAGCAGUAAUUCUGUCGGAUGCCAAAACUAAAAUGAAUGUGACUGUGCCGUGCCCAGCUCUGAGCUGUGGCUGUAAUGAGAUUUGAAUGGGAAGCCCCGGAC